rnacentral:rRNA from 1 species
AAGGAUUUUUUUAGUAGCGGCGAGCGAACAAAAAACAGCUCAGCACUUAAUCUUACAAUUUUUACUAAUUGUCAAGAAAUGUAGUGUUUAGAAAAAUUUAUUAACUCAAAUUAUGUAUUAUUUUAAGUUUAUCUUGAACGGGGCCAUAACCCAUAGAAGGUGAAAGGCCGGUAAAAAUAAAUACAUAUUUUAAGUAAAUUUUUCUUAGAGUCGGGUUGCUUGAGAGUGCAAUCCUAAGUUGGUGGUAAACUUCAUCUAAAGCUAAAUAUAACUACGAGAUCGAUAGCGAACAAGUACCGUGAGGGAAAGUUGAAAAGAACUUUGAAGAGAGAGUUCAAUAGUACGUGAAACUGUUUAAGGGUAAACCUGAAAAAUCCAAAUAAAUGAAAAGAAAGAUUCAUUCGUGUUUGAGUUUUAUUGUAUUAGAUGGUCUUAUUGACAAAUAUUAUUUUCGGAUAAUGGUUUGCAAGCAUUUGAUACAUUUUAUAGAACCAAACGUGUGCAUUUCUUUCUUAGUAAUAUGUUGCGAUUUAUUAAGUAUCAAUUUAAGACUUUGUGAAAAGUUUUAAAAUAAUUUUUUUGUUUUAAAUUUCAUAGAGAUUCUAAUUGAUUAGCUUGAUAAUAAAAAAGUUAGUAUUAAAUCACGUUUAACGUGUUUGUUUUUCAACAAUUUGGUUUAAUUUUGUUAUUAUUUGGAUUUAAUGCCAAAUUUAACAUUAAACUGAUGUUAGUUGGAAAUAAAUCAAACAGAUUUAAUUAUACUAAUCUGCAACAAAUAUGUUUUAGAUAAUUUCAGGACCCGUCUUGAAACACGGACCAAGGAGUCUAGCAUGUGCGCAAGUUAUUAGGAUUUAUUAAACCUAAAAGCGUAAUUAAUGUAAAAAUUUGUUUUUUGCAAAUUAAGGGAAAAUGAGUGAGUUUUUUUUAAAAGCUUACUCCGCAUUCCCGGAGCACUUGAAUUUUUCUUUGAAAAAUUGGGUGCAUCAAUAGCGUACACGCUGGGACCCGAAAGAUGGUGAACUAUGCCUGGUCAGAACGAAGUCAGGGGAAACUCUGAUGGAGGUUCGUAGCGAUUCUGACGUGCAAAUCGAUCGUCAGAACUGGGUAUAGGGGCGAAAGACUAAUCGAACCAUCUAGUAGCUGGUUCCCUCCGAAGUUUCCCUCAGGAUAGCUGGUGCUUAGUUUCGGAGUUUCAUCCGGUAAAGCGAAUGAUUAGAGGCAUUGGGGUCGAAACGACCUCAACCUAUUCUCAAACUUUAAAUGGGUGAGAUCUUCGGCUUUCUUAAAUUGAAGCCGUAAGAAAAUUAGAAUCAAAG